rnacentral:tRNA from 2 species
UCCUCCGUGGCGCAAUUGGCUAGCGCGUCUGACUGUUAAAUUCCUUAGCAAUCAGGAGGUUGAAAGUUCGAGCCUUUCCGGGGGAG